AUUGAACGCUGGCGGCAGGCCUAACACAUGCAAGUCGAGCGGUGCUGCGGACGGGUGAGUGAUGCCUAGGUAUCUGCCUGGUAGUGGGGGAUAACGUCCGGAAGCGGACGCUAAUCCCACAUACUAUCAGAUGAGCCUAGGUCGUAUUAGCUAGUUGGUGUGGUAAAGGCCUACCAAGGCGACGAUCCGUAACUGGUCUGAGAGGAUGAUCAGUCACACUGGAACUGAGACACGGUCCAGACUCCUACGGGAGGCAGCAGUGGGGAAUAUUGGACAAUGGGCGAAAGCCUGAUCCAGCCAUGCCGCGUGUGUGAAGAAGGUCUUCGGAUUGUAAAGCACUUUAAGUUGGGAGGCGUUACCAACAGAAUAAGCACCGGCUAACUUCGUGCCAGAAGCCGCGGUAAUUC
rnacentral:rRNA from 1 species